ensembl:snRNA U6 U6 spliceosomal RNA
GUGCUCCCUUCAGCAGCAAAUGUACUAAAACUGAAAUGGUACAGAGAUGAUUAGUAUAGCCCCUGUGCAAGGAUAACAUGCAAAUUCGUGACAUGUUCCAUAUUUUC